rnacentral:lncRNA from 1 species
AUGGUAAAAGCAAGAGAGUUCCAGAAAAAUAUCUAUUUCUGCUUUAUUGACUAUGCCAAAACCUUUGACUGUGAAGAUCACAAUAAACUGUGGAAAACUCUGAAAGUGAUGGGAAUACCAGACCACCUGACCUGCCUCUUGAGAAACCUGCAUGCGGGUCAGGAAGCAACAGUUAGAACUAGACAUGGAACAACAGACUGGUUCCAAAUAGGAAAAGGAGUACGUCAAGGCUGUAUAUUGUCACCCUGCUUAUUUAACUUGUAUGCAGAGUACAUCAUGAGAAACGCUGGGCUGGAAGAAGCACAAGCUGGAAUCAAGAUUGCCGGGAGAAAUAUGACUAACCUCAGAUAUGCAGAUGACACCGUCCUUAUGGCAGAAAGUGAAGAGGAACUAAAAAGCCUCUUGAUGAAAGUGAAAGAGGAGAGUGCAAAAGUUGGCUUAAAGCUCAACAUUCAGAAAAUGAAGAUCAUGGCAUCCGGUCCCAUCACUUCAUGGAAAAUAGAUGGGGAAACAGUGUCAGACUUUAUUUUGGGGGGCUCCAAAAUCACUGGAAAUGGUGAUUUCAGCCAUGAAAUUAAAAGACGCUUACUCCUUGGAAGGAAGCUUAUGACCAACCUAGAUAGCAUAUUGAAAAGCAGAGACAUUACUUUCCUAACAAAGGUCCGUCUAGUCAAAGCUAUGGUUUUUCCAGUAGUCAUGUAUGAACGUGAGAGUUGGACUGUGAAGAAAGCUGAGCACCAAAGAAUUGAUGCUUUUGAACUGUGGUAUUGUAGAAGACUCUUGAGAGUCCUUUGGACUGCAAGGAGAUCCAACCAGUCCAUUCUAAAGGAGAUCAGUCCUGGGUGUUCUUUGGAAGGACUGAUGCUAAAGCUGAAAUUCCAAUACUUUGGCCACCUCAUGCUAAGUGUUGACUCAUUGGAAAAGCCUCUGAUGCUGGGAGGGAUUGGGGGCAGGAGAAGAAGGGGACAACAGAGGAUGAGAUGGCUGGAUGGCAUCACUGACUCGAUGGACAUGAGUUUGAGCGAACUCUGGGAGUAG